rnacentral:lncRNA from 1 species
GUUUUUCCGCCCAUCGCCACGAUAGCGGCUCCACGGCGGGCGCGGAGUUGGGAGCGGCGCUCGAGCAGCGGCUCGGUGCCCUGGCCAUCCACACUGAGGUCGUGGAGCACCCCGAGGUCUGGCCAUCUUCUAAAGAGUUUGAACCUACUGAAGAACUAUCUUGACUGUCUUGAUGAGGGAGCUGAAGAAAUCCUUCACUGGAGUCUGAGCGGAAGUGGAAUCUAUUUUCCUUCUUCUUGAAUUUGGAAUGCUUUUGGCCAAGAGAAAGAGGUGGAAGUGAUGGUGUAACAGUUCCAAGUCUAGGCCUCAAGUUGCCUGUGGACUUCCACUCAGACUCUCAGAGCCCUGCUGGAGGAUGGAGAGACCACAUGGAACAGAGAAGGGUUAUCCCACCGAGGCCACCAUAGACCAGCCAGCCCUCAGCGUACAUGCCAGCUAAUUACAGAUGCAGGAGCAAACCCCUGGCCCAUACAUCAAUGGAGUUUCGCUCUUUCGCCCAGGCUAGAGGGAAGUGGUGCGAUCUCGGCUCACUGCAACCUCUGUCCCCCAAGUUCAAGCGAUUCUCCUGCCUCAGCCUCCCGAGUAGCUGGGAUUACAGGCAUGUGCACGCCACCAAGCCUGGCUAAUUUUUGUAUUUUUAGUAGAGACGAGGUUUCACCAUGUUGGUCAGGCUGGUCUCAAACUCCUGACUCAGGUGAUCUACCUGCCUCGGCCUCCCAAAGUGCUGGAAUUACAGGUGUGAGCCACUGCACCCAGCCUAUUCUAUUUUUUAAAAUUCCGAAUUCAAACUAUGCUUGGUACUACAAAGGGGCAGUAUAUAGUUUGGAUGUAAGAAAUAAUACAUAAUUUUGAAAAAACAUAUAUAUACACAUAUAUAUGUAUAUACUUUCUAUAUAAAAUGUUUGUUAUAUAUAAUAUAUAUUUAUUACCUAUCAU